UACGUAGGGGGCAAGCGUUGUCCGGAUUUACUGGGCGUAAAGCGCGUGUAGGCGGCGCGUCAAGUCGGGUGUGAAAGCCCGGGGCUCAACCCCGGGAUGCCGCUCGAAACUGGCGUGCUUGAGGGCGGAAGAGGGGAGUGGAAUUCCUGGUGUAGCGGUGAAAUGCGCAGAUAUCGGGAAGAACACCUAUGGCGAGGGCAGCUCUCUGGGACGGUACUGACGCUGAGACGCGAAAGCGUGGGGAGCAAACAGG
rnacentral:rRNA from 1 species